CACAGCCUUUGUCUUAGAUGCUCAGAAGCCCUGGGUUCAAGCUCCAGUACCAAGGAAAAGAGAGAAAGAGAGAGAGAGAGAGAGGGAGAGAGAGACUUCUUGUGGACUUUCUGUUUUGAAUCUUCUGUAUACGGACAACUCCUCAUGUCAAACUUUAUCAUAUCCCUAGGUUCAUAUUUUCACUCCACUGGUGACAAGUUAAUGCAGGCAGAGCACUAUUCUAGGUAAAAAUUGACUAUGCAGGUGAAAUCCUGCUGACUCCAGUCUCCUGGCCAACAUUUGGAUUUUCUGAGCCUUCAUUAACCCACAAGGUGUCGACAGAGAUUCUAAAGACCUGGUGAAUUUCUUUCUUUUUUCUAAGAAGUGCAGUUUUUCACCCUGAAGAACAAAGUCCAGAAGUUGGAACUGCUUUUGGCCACCAGAUAAUGGUCAAUGAAUACUGAAUUAAUUGACGAAAUACCGAGUUUGUGAAAUAGAGUUUGCAGAGGAAACCAAAUUCUGGAUAGAAUGUAUGGCACCCUGGGUUACUUAAGUCCAGGACAAAACCUCCAAAGCUUUGAUCUUUGUUGGUGUCAGAGAAGGACCUUUACUCCAUCUCCAGAAUUGGAAGAGGCCAUAGCACCUGGCAUCUCAGUAAGUUCCUGCAAGGAACCCUGGACGGUGUGAAGCACACACGGAGGAGGCGCUGGUGCCGGCUCCUCACCCACCCCUUAUGGAGCCAUGCAAUGAUUCCCACAGCAAAUGAUGCACCUCGCCCACCUGUGAGCAGUCAGUCACCUUCAAGAUCCUUCAGGGGCAGUGAGCAAACCCUUAGGUUUGCAUAGCAUCUCUUCUACAACUGCAUGUUUUCCAGGUUAGUUCUGGCCACACCCCCUGAUUCUCCUCGGAGAAGGAAUUACCAAGCUGCUGGGUAAAGUCCCAGGAUCUGGGGCCUCAGGGCCGUGACAAGGAUGUUGGGUGGUGGCCUCUCUGGGUUUCCAUCUAUUUGACUAGAAAUAUAAACCUUUCAGAUUGCCCCUGGCAAAGGGUCAAAGGGUAGGUAUGCUUGCAAGAAAGGGAGACUAAGAGAAAGGCUGUAAGAACCUCUGUCCUUAUUCUUGGGAGGGGAUGAAGGACUUUAAUUCUGCUCCUUCAUUUCUAGGUGGCUGAGGAGCCUCCCUGAACUACCUCACUUCCAUCUCCAGCUCCAACUCCACCCAGCCAGCCCUUUUCACCUCUCCAAACACCUGCUUUUCAGUAAGAAGCCCCACCCCACCCAGAACAUGGAGUUCUUUCCAGUCUGGGAGACGCACCUUGGAGCGAGGGAGGGCUGUCACAUUUGGAAAAGAGGAGGAGGAAGAAGAUGACUAUUUUAUUGUUCCACUCAUGUACUCUGACUCCCACCUUUGUCAAAUAGCUGAUGGAGCAGCUUUUGAAAAUAGUGUAAAAUGAAACCUUGCUGCCCUGAUUUGGUCAGCCUUUGUGAACUGUCCCCUGCAACUUGGCCCCUCUCCUUCAACAACACCACACAUUGGCGGGUGGGGGGAGGUGGUGGUGGCAGGCACUAUGCUCCGCUCAGGGGCUGGAGUUCAUGCUUCACUGAGGGCGACAGGGAUGCUUUAGAUGAUAGUGAGUGGUGGAAAUAGUCACUCUCCCUUCUGAGAAUUGGAAACGACAUCCUAUUUAAAACAAUGGUUCUUGGCGUUUACCUGCUUUCCUAAAGAGGUCCCACCUGCCUGUCCUCUUGAGACCUCCUGGGGUGCACAGGAGGAGAGUGGAGAGUGUUCCAUUUCUGUGGACCAAGAAAUCCCAUCAUAUCACACUCCCUGUCCACUGGGAUCCCCAAGAUGACAUCAGUGGGCAGGAUGGCAGGAGAGCUUGCCCUGUAGGACAUUUUUCUUCAAGGAGACAUAGCCUGUGGCUCAACAAAGGCUUCUGGGAGGUGAGUGGAGUUCAGGAUAUGCUGGUGAGCCCAUGGGACGGUCACUCCUGUUGUGGCUACACUGGAGUUGAGCAAUGGUCUUAAUGUAGACAGACAACUGAAGAGUUCCUUAGUUAAUUUUUCAUGAAAGGGUAUAAUUGGAAAUUUAUAUCCAAGUCGUUGAUUACCAGUUAACAAUAAAAAGGAACAAAGGGUUGAUAUUUGCAAAAAUUUGGGUGGAUCUGAAGGUGACUAUGCUGAAUGAAAAGAGCCAGUCUCGAAAGAUUGCAUGCUACAUAUUGUAGGAUUCCAUUUUUUGUUUGUUUUCUACAUUAAAUUCUAUGAAAUAAUGUCUCUUUACAAAACAAUCUGUGAAUGAAACAAACUUGAUUUUUAAAGGCAAAAGGUAUAAGGAGAGCUGCUACAAAACCCACCAGUCACCAAACUGAAUACUCUUACUGGUUUUAUAUCACAAAAUGAAGUUAAGCUCUAAUCUGAUCCCAGUGUUGAACUCACCUGAUAUGCCUUCUUUGUAGGAUUUCAUUUUCUUGGUUGUUAGUUUUGUUUGUUUGUUUGUUUGUUUGUUUUUGGUAUGGGGGAUUGAACCCAGGGGUACUCUACCACUAAGUCACAUCCCCAGUCCUUUUUUUUUUGUUUUUUUUUUUUUUUUUUUUUUUUUUUUUUUUUUUUUUUUUUUUUUUUUUUUUUUUUUUUUUUUUUUUUUAAUACACCUUCUCACUAAGUUGCUGAGGCUGCUGUCCAAUUCAUGAUCCUCCUGCCUCAGGCUCCUGAGCCGCUGGGAUUACAGGCAUGGGCCACUACACCCAGCCCUGUUGCAUUCUUGAAAUGCAGAGAUUCUGGAGAUGAAGAACCCCAUUAGUGACAGGAAUUAGGGAUUGUGAGGAAAGACUGGGGAAGGCCACGGAAGACCAGUACUAGGAAACCCUGUGGUGAUGAAGCAAUUAGGGAUCUUGAAUGUGGUUAUGCACUGCUGCAUAGGUGAUAAAAUUGUAUAAAGCCACACACACACACACACACACACACACACGAGUACCUGUAAAACUGGUAGCCCAAAUUAGCUUUGAAUUGUACCAAUAUCAAUUUCCUGGUUUUGAUAGUGCACUAUCAUUAUACAAGGUGGCAGGGUGAAGAGUGUGUGGGGACUUCCUUGUAACAUUUUUAUGGUGGUAAAAUACCUGUAACAUAAACUUUACCAUUUUAAUUAUUUUUUACAUACACAGUUUGGUGGAGCUAAAACUUGGAUCUUAAGUAUUCCAUAGAAGCCAUGUGUUGAAGGCUUGGAGUGCUAUUGGGAGGUGGUGGAACAUUUAGGAAUUUAGGUGACUAAGGGUGUGCCCUUGAAGGGGACAUGGGGACUUGGGCCCCUGCCUGUUUCUCUCUUUGAUUCCUGGCCGCCUUGAGUUUAUCUGUUUCCUUCACCAUGUGCUCCUUACACAGGUCCAAAAGCAAUGGAACCAGUGAUCAUGGACUAAGACCUCUGAAGUCUGGGAGCCCAAAUAAGACUUUCUGCCUUAUAAGUUGAUUCUUUCUAGUAUUUUGUCACAGUAAUGGAAAGCUGACUAACAGGUGGGAUUUAUUACUUUACAUUAUGGUACAAUAGACUUGACCUUCCACCUCUAGAACUUUUUAUCAUCCCACACUGAAACUCCAAACCCAUUAAACAACUCCCUAAUCUCUCUCCCCCAACCCCUGAAAACCACCAUUCUACUUUCCAUUUAUUUGAAUUUGACUAUUCUAGAUAUCUCAUAUAAAUGACAUCAUACAAUAUUUGUUGAUUUAUGACUGGAUUGUCUCCCUUAGCUGAAUGUCUGAGGGGUUCAUCCAUCAGAAUUUCCUUCCUUUUUAAGACUGAAUAACAUCCCGUAUUCUGUUUGUCCACUCAUUUAUUGGUGGCAAUUUUAGUUUCCACCUUUUAGAUGCUGUUAUCCUCUCAAAUUGUUUUUU
rnacentral:lncRNA from 1 species